rnacentral:rRNA from 1 species
CAGCAGCCGCGGUAAAACGAAGGGUGCAAGCGUUAAUCGGAAUUACUGGGCGUAAAGCGUGCGUAGGCGGUUUGUUAAGUCUGCUGUGAAAUCCCCGGGCUCAACCUGGGAAUGGCAGUGGAUACUGGCAAGCUAGAGUGUGUCAGAGGAUGGUGGAAUUCCCGGUGUAGCGGUGAGAUGCGUAGGGAUCGGGAGGAACAUCAGUGGCGAAGGCGGCCAUCUGGGACAACACUGACGCUGAGGCACGAAAGCGUGGGGAGCAAACAGGAUUAGAUACCCCCGUAGUCCCUGUCUCUUAUAC